ACGGCAUAAAACGCCCUGGAUGUCAAUAUAUGAGAUACAGUAAACGGCGAAGAGUCAUCAAAAAGUUAUAGUUCAUCGGAAUCGAACCACAGGAAACCGGGUAUUCAGAGCAAACACGCGUAAAGCCCGAUCCUGGAGAGCGUACUAUAAUAACAGACAGCAGCCUCGCUAUGUGGGAAUCUAGUAACAAUCGGAUCGCACAGCUAGUCCGCGACAAACCAUUCAAGUUUUGCCCCAUCAGCUUUCGACGGUAGUGUACUGGACUACCGUGGCUUUUACGGGUAACGGAGGAUUAGGGUUCGAUUCCGGAAGGGAGCCUGAGAAACGGCUACCACAUCUGAGGAAGGCAGCAGGCGCGUAAAUUACCCAAUUCUGAUUCAGAGAGGUAGUGACAAGAAAUAACGGGUCGGGAUUUUUUCCCGGGGACUGGCAAUGAGAUGAAACUUUAUACCCCCUUUUUCGAGUAACAAUUGGGAGGGGCAAGUCUGGGUGGCCAGCAG
rnacentral:rRNA from 1 species